rnacentral:rRNA from 1 species
CAGAACGAACGCUGGCGGCGCGUCUUAAGCAUGCAAGUCGAACGGCAAGAGGUAGCAAUACCUCCUAGAGUGGCGGACUGGUGAGUAACACGUGGGUGACAUACCCUUCAGAUGGGGAUAGCUAUUAGAAAUAGUAGAUAAUACCGAAUACGAGCACAGGGGUUAGAGAUCUGUGAGGAAAGGAGCUAAGGCUCCGCUGAAGGAAUGGCCUGCGGCCCAUUAGCUAGUUGGUGAGGUAAGAGCCCACCAAGGCGAUGAUGGGUAUCCGGCCUUAGAGGGUGAACGGACACAUUGGGACUGAGAUACGGCCCAGACUCCUACGGGAGGCAGCAGCUAAGAAUAUUCCGCAAUGGACGAAAGUCUGACGGAGCGACGCCGCGUGGAUGAAGAAGGCCGGAAGGUUGUAAAAAUCCUUUUGAAACUGAAGAAUAAGCGUUGUAGGGAAUGACAGCGUGGUGACAGUAGGUUUUGAAUAAGCAACGGCUAAUUACGUGCCAGCCGCAGC